CGGGCGGCGGGGGUGCGCCAGCCCGUGGCUCUGCGCGGCGGGGUGGGGGGCGGCGGGGCCGCCGGCUGCGGGCGGUGGCGGCGGCGGCGGCUGAAGGGCAACGGCGGCGAUGGGCGCUGUGGGCUGAUUGGUAAAGAUGGAAAGAGGGAGAGGAGGAGGAGGAGGAGGAGGAAGGAACCUGGGAGGCUCCGGCCUGCACAGGAGCAUUUAUUCCCAGUCCCAGCAGCAGUACCAUUACCCGGCCUCCUCCCAGGGGGGCUGCAUGGAGAUCCAGGAGCUGGCCUCCAAGAGGGUGGACAUCCAGAAAAAGCGGUUUUAUCUGGAUGUGAAACAGAGCUCCCGCGGCCGCUUCCUGAAGAUCGCCGAGGUCUGGAUAGGAAGAGGCAGGCAGGACAAUAUCAGGAAAAGCAAGCUGACCCUCUCCUUGUCCGUGGCCGCCGAGCUGAAGGACUGCCUGGGGGACUUCAUCGAGCACUACGCCCACCUGGGCCUGAAAGGCGGCCACGGCCACCGGCACGAGCACAGCAAUGGCAAAGAGCAGCAUCCCCGGAGGCGACAGCAGCUCCCGCCGCCUUCGCCUCCGGUGUCCGUCGGCUCCGAAGAGCACCCUCACAGCGUCCUCAAAACGGAGUACAUCGAGAGGGACAACAGGAAGUAUUACCUGGACCUGAAGGAGAAUCAGCGAGGGCGCUUCUUGCGGAUUAGGCAAACCAUGAGUAGGGGACCUGGCAUGAUGGGUUAUUUUGGCCACAGCUUGGGACAGGAGCAGACGAUCGUCCUUCCGGCGCAAGGGAUGAUUGAGUUCAGGGAUGCUUUGGUCCAGCUGAUCGAAGAGUACGGCGAGGGGGACAUAGAGGAUCGCCGGGGGGGAGGCGACGAGCCCCCGGAGCUCCCCGAGGGCACCUCCUUCCGAGUGGACAACAAGCGUUUCUACUUCGACGUGGGAUCCAACAGAAGUAGGCUGCAGUCUGGAAGUAUGCAUCUUGAGCUAAACGUUGCCAGGAUUUCAUCCUCCCCGGGACAUUCACAUUGGUUGCAGAAUAAUUAGAGUCGCUUUUCUCUGCGCGUGCAACGGCGAGGCGCUUCCCCAUCCGUUUGGGAAUCGACCCGAGGGUUUGAUGUGGGUUAGUAAAUACAGUCCUGCGCUGGCUCCGGUUGCUGCAGCGGGUGACGGUGCAGGGAGCCACCAGGACCAGGGACCAUCAGAGCCCGCGCGUGGAACCCGGGUCAACGUGGCAACAGAGACCGGAGCAAGGCAAGGGACCACCGCCCGCGUGUAUCGUACAUCACGGCGUGACUACAAAGGCAAGGCUUAAACAGCUUUAUCCUGGAUACCGCAGGAGCCCAACUAUUUUAGCCUAACUUUUCUGCCUCGGGGGACUUUUAACUCUUGCCUGGUGCUCAAGUAAGGCAGUCGCUUUGGAGAGCGUGUGGACGUUUCUGUCCCGGGAUCGGCACGUGCCAGCGUGCAGUCUGCGUGUAAGCUCGCUGCGGCCCGGCCCCUGCGCUCGGUCACGGCAUUUUCUGCUUACACCAGCGCAGUCAUCCCUCAGUGCUGGCAGGGGUGACCCUUUGAGUUAACAAGCGAUAAGUUCCUCCUAGCUAUCUUAUUGAGAAAAAAAAAGAAGCAGAGGGAAGUGCUGGACUCACCCGAUAAACAUUUUCACGGAUGCUGCCAACUUUUAACCAUGGGUUAUCUCGGUGAAGGCAUAUUACAGAGACUUUUCUUUUAAAAACAGCUUAACAGUGUCAGUUUAUUUGGCAGUGCACGUUUUGUGCCGAUACGUGCGCAUCCCCGAGAAAGCCCACAAGCCAGAGGGUACGGCAGAGGCGGUGCCCACGUACUCCUCCCUGCAGCAGCAAACUGCAGUUUGACCUGUUGCUUUUCUCACUUCUUUUCUGCUCUGAGGAGACACCCUCUAAAGUAGGGAUAACCCCUCUAAACAUGCUCAUCCCUUUUUAGACAAACCUCACGAGGUUUCAACAGCAGCCCACGGUUUCUAAAAGCUUCUUGCCAUUUCCGAGAUGAUCCAAGGACGGGAAGGCACCGCGACUCCAAACCUGGCGAAGGUACGGUCGCUUUUGCUGCCUGACCUGUAGAGGAGAAGGUGUCACCCCCAAAGUAUUUCUGCAAGCCCCCUAAAAGAGGAACAGAAAGUUAGAGGAGCAAGCUCUUGAGCCACGAGCCAAGAGGUAAGAGCGAAGACUGAGCCACGGCUUGGACUUUGUUUGGAGAGCAUGGCGGCUCUCCGGGCUGGACUGGUCCACCAUCCACAUUGGCCGUGGCCGAACGUCCUCCUGAGACAGGCUGUGAAGUACCCUCCCGCAGACGGGCGCAGCCUCCUCAGCCCCCUCGUGCCACAGGAGGAGAAAGAGAAAGCACCGACUGGGAGAUCCUCUUCGCUUCCUCACCUUCUCAGGCUCUCCACAAAGCCAAGUUCAUCCUCCUCCUCCUCCUCGACACUGCAGCCCUUCAGCUGUUGCAAUAAACCUAGAGCUGCUUUCUCUGCUUGUUCAAAACCUAUGCCGACCUCUUCCUCUCAGCGGGGCUGAAGAUGCUGUGCAAAAGAGAACAAGCAGGAGGCUAGGACGGGGGUAUUUUUCACUCGCCUCAGCCUAAACACCAGCCUCCUCCAGGCUUUCAGCCUUCCAAGAGCUUCCCACCUUUCUAGCCAAGCGGUUUGUUUUGCACAAGAAAUAAAAAAAUCGGUAGCUUUGUGCUAGCAGUAGCUGGAGUCCUCUGUUACUAGUGAAGGCAUUUUCUCCCUCUCCUUUGAAUUCUGUCGGAAUGCAGAAACAAACGUGAAAUAAGGGUUGUGAUAUCGGGAAAGGGGAGAUCAGAACAGACUGUUCCUCUGGAUAGGGUUUGAUGCAAUUUGAAGCUGCUUGUAGGAGAUCGGCUGGAGGGUAAACUGAUUUGGGCUAAAAAAGCUGGUGCUGUCAAGCUAUGCUAGUGAUUCGUCAGCAGAUGGUCCGAAAUAGCUUUUUUGUGACCUCUGACCUCCGGGAAAGAUAACCGUAUCAGAUUGUAGGUGCGAUUUGCGUUGGAAGAAAUUUAUGUCAUCUCAGGAUGGCAUUUACUGUCAAAAAACAUCGCAUGGAAACUUAAAGAAAACAAAAAUCGCACGUCUGAAUCAACACCAGGCGAGCGUUUGCAGAGCCUUGUCGCCGAGCCAGCCAACCACGCUGAAGUCGGCUUCCACGCGAGCUGUAAUCCACCCUUCUGCCUUCGUGGCGGCGCAAAAUUUCCCAUAAACACCUGUGUAGCGCGGGGAGGGGUUGCGAUUAUGCGAGCGAGGAGCUCCUGUACCUGCAGCGUCCUGCUCUGCACCUAAGCUCCAGCCAUUGACUGUAGAGGCGUCGCCCCCCCCGCAAGCGAAAGCGGUCCCCUCCGAUCUUCCCAGGCUGCGUCGGUGCUGCGGCGCCCGUACGAGGUGGCGGAUGCUGAGGCGGGUGUUGUGUUGAAGGGCUGCGUUUCAGGGGCGGUACUUGGUCACCAGUUGUUGUCUAGGAGGCUGUGGCUUUUUGUACAGCGGGGAAAAAAUGAUUGCUGGUUGAAUUGCAAGUUAGGGGACUGUUUUCUGCCAAGCUUACACCCCCUCCCCGCACCGUUUCAACUGCACGUUAUUCUCUUUUUCUUUCCACUGGUCCCGUCGAGCACCGCUCAACAGCUGCUGCGUUUAAUCCCAGAAGCUGUAGUUGGUAGCGAGCAAAGUGAUCUCCAUAUAACCUCUAUCUUACUCAUAAGCGUGCAUUAUGAGGCUUAACCGAUGGUAAUAAAAUGUUUUGCUUUCAACGCGCGGUCCCUGCGGUCCAAUGUUCCCAUCUUCAGGCACCGUCAUUAGAGCAGGGCGAUGUGCUGUUAUUCUGCUGAUCCCCAGGAACGUGUCUCGUAACACCGGACGCAGGCAUCCUCGACGUCUUAUCGACGCGUGUGGAUACCCAGCGAGGAGAGACGGACAACACCGAGCAGAGCCCUUUCCGCGGUAGCGAGUUGGUGACGGUGGCGUCCCCGGGUAGAAGCAGCGGCUGCGAUCUCCGCGAAUAAAUUUGUCCCGUACACGUUGCUCUUUGACGAAGAGUGUAUCUUGACGGUCAAGGGAAAGCUGCUGCAACGGGAGGACUUGCCGAGGCGCUCGGCGUCUUGCUUGGCUGUGACCCCAAGGUGCAGGCUCACGUCUCUGCGAGGUAAAUCUCACGCUGCAAUCUUGCGUUAGGGACUGCGGUGGUCCGUGGGGGAACGGGAACAGGUUGCACACCUGCCACUUCGGGGGGGGGUUUCAUCCCUUUCACAACUACUCUGCAGGUUCAUGGGUUUAUACGUUGUUUUCUCCUUUCCUGCGUACAAAAAAGAGCGGUUUUAUGUCAUCCUGCACGGUGGAUAUUUUUGUGCGAGGGGGGAAAAAGGGUGCUUCUCGUCCACGUUUAAGUAACCACACAAAAUGCAGAAAGUCUGCACUUGGAAUUUCACUUUGGUUUACGCAUCGUUGCCGCUUUCAUUGAAAGCAUCUUUUCACAUAUAAAUAAUUUAAAGGUCGUAUGAGUUUCCUUCUCUAAACCGAAAGCAUGAAUUCCAAAGCGGGGAUCUCCAGGUGUCAUUUCUGUGGUACGGUGGGUUGCAUUAAGCCCUGCAGCUGGGCUUUGUUGAACCGGAUGCAUUUUCCCAUACUCGAAGUUUAUAGCGUUUAGUUUCAAAGCGGGAUUUCCCAGGCAGAGCACCCCCAGAACGGCACCGGUACGUAUGCGAAUAUAGAGCUUUUCCAGGCAACACCACCACAGCCUUUUUCUGGAGAUUGCCGUUUUGUAAAUAAGCUUCUUCUUGAGCAGCACGGCUAGGACUACAAAAGACGGAUGAUUAUUUCUUCCCGGCAUCGGUCUUCCGCUGCAGGAUCUGGUUUUUGUUGCGAUAAUUAGCAGAGAAUUAAAAAUGGCCCCUCAUCUUCAGUUCGCAUUACGCCUCCGAUACCGAGCGAUGUGGGAUCGCGUUCUCCUCACCAAUAGGCUGCGUCUGGGAAUCGCUUUAUUCACCGCUGAAAACCAGCAUUUAAUUGUGGCGCACAGAUAUCUGCAGGCUUCGAUGCAGCAAAAGCCUCCGCCUCCAAAAAUAAAAUGUUGCUUCUAAUAAACUUUGAAAUGCGUUGUUUUUUGGAGACUGGAAAAAUUGCCAAGAAUAUUUAGAUGAAAAUCCAACGUGCCGGCUGAAGGAGGAUUUUACAGAUGCCUUUAAAAUCCAGAGCCGAGGCUGAAGGCGAGGUCACGGGCUAGCACGCAGCCUUUUCUCCCAGAAAACCUGUAAUAGCUUUUCUUUUUAAAAAUUUAACAGGGUUGCCAGUCCAGGUGGAGGCAAAAUUGCAAGGAGCCUCAGACGUGGCCAACGGUGCGUCCUCGGGACGAACUCAAGCAGCAGAAACACAACGCGAUGUAAAAACUUCCUCGUGAGAGCAGCGCAGGAAAUUACUGUGCAAUCUGACGCAGUGUCCGAGCAUCAGAUUAAUUAUCCGCUUCCAAAUCAUCUGCCAAAAAUCCUUACCAUCGGAAGAGAGGAAAGAACGUGUUAUAAAAAGACCUGGAAAAUGAGCAAUUUUGGUACGGGAGUUUUCACGCUGCUAAGUUUUCCGUGCAUACGAUGUUUAGGUUUGGUCUCAAGGUUGAGGUCAACGGUACUUAAACGGAACGUUAUCCCAGCGCCUGUGUAUAGGAGAUGGUGAUAUACGCCAGUCUUGCAAGAUCAGGCUCGAACACGGUCCUGCAAGAUGCUUCCUCGCCCAGCGUAACGCCGAACGAUUGCUUUUAGUCCCACGAGACUCCACCACCAUUUACGAUAAAGCCGCGGCGUGCAAGCUGGCACGCUUCUCCCCCGUAGCGCUCGCUCUCCUUCGCCGCUGGACUUGUUCCUCGCUGGGUAGGAGGGUCGUGUAGUGCCUCCCCCAGACCUCGCUGGCUUUGGCGACAAGACGGGAUAUAUCAUUUCAGCAGUUUUCUUAUCUGGAUUGCGGACCGAGAUGGUUGCGUUUCCCCGCCUGCAGAAAUCGUGAGCCCUCCUCGCGGCGGGGCACCGCCGAUCUCGCGCUGCCCUUCUCCAGCUCCCGCGUCUUUCCCAGGCUCCUUCCUUUCCAGCUCUAUGUCCGCAAAGGCGGAUCUACAUCCGUAGCCCCUGGAUGCGCGACCUUGCUUUCGGCUCGUUUAAAUACAGCUCUUUGUGGCAGCAGUGGAAGUCAGUCACCUGGGUCUGUAACUCUUUUUUUAUUUCCCCUGGGGUAUUAGUGUUACCUGCUUCUGAAAAACCAGAAAAAUUCAGAAAGAUGCCUGCAGCUGUACCUGAAGUAUACCCCACGUACCCUACCAACUCCAGCAAGCUAAUACUUCUGUUUUAAAAAGAGCUUUCUCCAUUAAAAAAAAAAAAAAAAAAGAUUUCUAGCUGGCUCAGGCACACCGGAUGCUGGACGGCCAGCACAACGCUUGGGAGAGUUGACGGCGAUGCACGCGGGGCCUGGCGAGCCGCUUAGGCUCUCGGGUGACCUUUUUUUGGGGUGCCUACUGAAACAUAGCGAGAAUUGAAGGUCCGGGUUCCCUUUUUUUCAUUUGCCGCUUUCAUUUUGGGAGAAAACACUUUGUUUUUCUCAAGCGCUGAGCUCCCGAGCUAAGGGGACGGAAGGGCGCUGCUGGAGCACGUCCCGGCUUGCAAGGAGCCGCUGCCAGCCCAGCGUGCGGACUGGGACCAAUGCAGACUUUUUGGGGGGAGAUUUCCUGCCCCCUGUUUCCAGCGAGCGGAGUCGUUGCUUUCCCAGCACGAGUACAAAGGUAGGGUUGGGCCUGCGGCUCGACGCGAGGGAACAAAAAAGCAGAUGUCAACAGCUGGAAUAGGCGCUGGGGCAGUCGGCGGGAAGCGCGGGUUUAAAGAGAGAAAGGGGAAGCGCCUGACGUCCGUCGGGAUGGAUCCUCCUUUUCCAGCCUCUUUCCGGGAGCGUGCUGAUCCAAAAUCCUUCUCCGGAGCGUUUUCCUUCAUGAGAAUGAAGAUGGGAUGUUAGGAACGUCAGUGUUUACCAGACUGCCUUCAUUGUCUUGUUCUUGCAUUAAUUGUCCUUUGACAGGUAGGGUGGAUAAGAGAAAAAAGCCAGCUUAAUGCAUAGUCAGAAAGCUAAAUAAUAAUAAUAAUAAUGAAAAAAAGGCAAACCACAAAUAAAUAGUUAAAUAGGCUAACUGUAAGAUAGCGUGUAAAAGGAGGCGGUCUGCGGCGCGACGCCUCUGUAAAGUGCAUGAUAAGCGUCGGCAAAGCUUGUUGCAGACACUGUGCAGGCUUUCCAGGGUUGCUUUUGCUAGACUUUGAGUAUCAUAGUUGCAAAGACUCGUAAAUGUUCCGAGAGACUCUUGGUUUUGGGGCGUUUGGGGUUUUUUUUCGUAAGCUGUGAGCACUUGCUUUCUGAAUGGGGUUGUAGUGCUGGAGUUAAUGGAGCUGUUCUUUAUCGUAACCUAAAAGGUGUCAGUCGUUUGCUCGUCUGUGUUCACAAGCUGAGCCGUAGCACUACGCACCUCUCCGCAACGGUGUGAUUUGAAGCCCUUUUGGUGUGGCAUGUGCAGUUGCAGUGCUGUCUGGUUUUAAUUUCAGCCCUAGCUAUCCCCCGCGUUCUCCCCGUGUUUCGGACGCUGAACCAAACCGACUUUGAAACUAGCACUUUAAGUACUAGUAGUCACUUUGCUUCUGACUAUAUUGAGCACUGCACUUUUGUAAGUACUAUUAGCACUGAGUUUUGAACUGUUUAUUUUCCCCACUCUAUUUAGCCUCUUAGGCGCGGUGUUAAUUACUUAGGGGCCACCAGAAGAUAAUUUCGAGGUGUAUGUGACCACUGCCCGGUGCCUGAUUUCCAUUACAUAUCCGUUAGCGAUUUUAUAAAUUAGGGAACUAAACCCAUCCAAGCUUAUUUUACACAACAAAACGAACAUGUAAAUCACUGACGGCCAGGCAGACGUGGUUGUUGUAAACUUUGAGGUCAUCCGGAGACCCAAGCGCAUGGCUUUUAAAAACACCAAAGACGCAGGAGAAGUCUCGAAAGGGAUCGGGAUGGUGCAAGAUCGUCUAACUUCCCCUUGGAAUUGAGCGGACCGCAGGACACAAAGCAGACCCGGAGCGAGAAGCGUAGGGCAGACGCUCCAUGUUUUUCGGUACGAGACCCCGGUCUGCGUUAGCAGGGCGAGUCCGUGGGACAGCGAAGUUAAACCCAGUCUGAGAUGCUGGUAUCGAGAAAGAUUGCACUCAAGCCAUUGCAAUAAAAGCCAUCACUGUGCCUGUACUGAAAGUGCUGUCGGGAUCGAUCGUGGGCUUAAACUACAAAAGGUAUUUUUAAGUAAAAAGACGUACAGAUGGUUUAGAAGGUGGAGCAUAAUAACCAUGGGGUUCGCUGUCGAGUUUGAAAAGUGGAGUUAGGAGUUGGUCGGGUCUCGCGUUAGGAGGCAAUUCGGAUGUGCGUCGCUGUUCUUGUUAAAUUCCCGUGAUAUUUCCGGACGGAUGGUCGGGGACCAGAGCUCCCUUGCCAGUGAGACAUCAGUAGGGUAGAGCUUGUAGUAAACAUAGUCAUAAACCUCUAGGAUUUGAAAUGGGAUGGUGAUCCCUGGAUGGAGAAUAAUCCGGGUUUUGAUGUCCCAAACUGUCCCACUCUCAGCCAACCAAUGGCAUUCUGCUUCUUUAAAAGCCCUCGUGGGUUUUCCGUAGCAGCAAAUAAAUCACGGUUGGUCGCGAGAGCGCUGCGUUUCCUUCACGCUGGGGUGCCCGCGCUCGGGACUCCCGCUCAUCCUCGUCGAGGAGCCGAUAGUCGAUCCGAGUCCUCCUCUGGCAAUACUCCUUGAUGGGACUUUCUCUCCGGUGAUACUUGAUGGAUAAACCCCGCCGUUACAGCAUGAUCCGUUUGAAUGGAGAGAAGUGAAUUAGGUCUUCUCCUUCGCUGCUAGCAAGCGGACGUGAUGGAAAUAACUUUCAGCAACAAAAAACCCCCGUGUAUUGGGUUUGCUUGUUGCAGCAGAUGAAGUGUUUUUCCUGAGCAGCUCCAGUUUUGGUGGCUGGUUUCGUUUGGCUUCAAUUCAAGCUUCCAUCUUCAAUAGACCUUCGUGGGUUUGGGUAUUCGGUGGGAAUUGAAGGCGGUUAAAAAAUACAAACCUUGAGCAGCCCCAGGUAUUACGUUCUCAUAUCCUCUAUCGUUGGAUUUAAAAACAGAAAUGUAAAUAGAAUCCAGAUCCUUCUUUUGGUUUUUGUUUGUUUUUUUUUUCCCCUUUCUCCCCCCAAAUCUAGCUUUAAAGAAAUAGCGCUUGGGGAUGUCACUGCUCUAGCUGAGCCCCCCAAAACGAUAGCGGCCGAGGGGACAGCCUCUUCAGCAAGUACCUCGGUGACUCAGAGCCUACAUCCCGCUCGCCGUCACGAGGAUAUAGGCGAACCCUUUGGACAAUUCACCCCCGCGGCGAGCUCACCGGUCUCCUCGAGUCCUUGGAAAUUAAGCUGGUGAGAAAGGGGGACGUGGAACAGGUCUUUUUUUUUUUUCUCGUUUCUUUUCCCCCGCAGGUGUAGUUUGUUGCCCCUUGGAGUUGGCAUCUCGUCCUUCGGGAAGGUAAAAGAAAGCGUUUUCUCCCGCACGGCACGCGUGAGGCCGGAACGCAAAGCCUAGCACAGCACCUCUCGCUUUGGAAGGACCUUUUAGGCGGAAAAAAGCUCUCGUAGGGAUUUUUAGUUGUUUGGGUUUUAAGAUAGCUCGUGGGAAGCGCAUUGUAACGACACACAGGCCACGUUUUACCGACCUUUUCUUUUUUUUCCAAGAGAGGCUUUUUAAUUUGCUUGGCUAGUUUAGAGUUCGUUUCCUUGAAAGUCUUUUUGGACCCGUGCAAUUGCCCUUGAAAUGAGUCGAGUUUAUCGAAACAAGUCGUGCAUUGCAGGAAGCAGUCUCAAAACGCGCACACACCCAUGCACCUAUCUGCGUCUACGUGCAUGUGUGUCUGUGUGCGUAUACAUAUAGAUAGAUAGAUUAUUUCCCCGACUGUUCCUUUUUUUGGGGGGGGGGGCAGGUUGGUUUGGGUUUUUUUGGGUUUGUUUCCUCCCACCCCCCAGGAUAUUAACCAAAAGGUGUUUUAAAGUCAUGGCAUGAGAACUCCUAAAUGUAAAUCUGAGUACCUUGUGAUGCUAAUUAACGGGGUUUUUUUUCUGAAACUUUAUGUGAUGCUUAAUAUUUUUCUUAGGAAGUUUCGUUUAAUGUUAGAUCAUUGUUCUGGAGGGUGUUGGUCCUACUGGCAUUAAACUAAUGGAAAUAAAAUGCAUGUGUUACAAGUGUAGAAACGGUGAAGAAUUAAGUGUGAACUUACUGUACGAUACUGAUUCUGUUUUCAAACAAUCUGUUUUGCUGUUCAAUAGUUGACAUAUGGAAAUGCCAAUGUACUGUAAUUUAGCACUUUUCCAAUGGACCCUGUUCUCACUACACCCGAGGGAAGAAGUGGGUUUGGCUUUGGGGCCGUCUGGACUCGACCUCGGGACCCUUUCUGCGUCUUUUGGCACCAGAAUUGGCCAGGGGGAAAGUCAGCUACUCCAAUCCGAGGUUUUCUCAUCGGUUCGGCGGCUGGCGCGGGGCAGAGGGGCGGUGGCUCUCCAUUUCCCUGUCCAAACGAGGAUAAUUUGGGUGAAGACCUUGCCACGGGUGGAUGGACUGGCGGCAUCCCGCUCCUCCAGCGCAUCCUCCCCGGGAACCGGGCUGGGGACGGGCUGUCCGAGCCGGGGUGGGACGAACGUGCGUCUGAAAAGCAGCCGAAGCGAUCCGCGGCCCCUGAAAUUAAAAAGCAGAAGGGUUAAACUACCAGCCACCUCUCCCCGACCCAAAGCCUCCUUUCCUAGUGUUAACAGGGUGCAAAGUGUUACUUGUCAUGUACUGUACUGAAAGGGUUAAUUGAUCCGUGACUGUAUUGUACUGUAUGAAAACUCAUGAAUUGCCUUGUAUUGUUUCCAAUGGACUGUACCAUGUCCCCCCACCGCCCGUUCCCAACCUGUCACCCGGUUUUUCCAAAUGACGCAUGUUAUCGGUUAGGUCCUCCAAACUCUCUGGUGCUAACUCUUCCGUAUCCGAUGGUGCUUCUGCGGAUGCUAACUGACAACAUGCCGAUCCAGAGCUUGAAGUUCACGACGUCUUUCUUGUCUGUUUGUAUGAAGUCGACGACACACACACACGCGCGCUCACGAAAAAGAAAAAAAGAAAAAAAAAAGAUAAACUUGAAUUUGUUUCAAAGCAUCAUUGACAAUCUAAUGUUUUCUAUGUCUGCUUUUAUUUGGGAUGGCUUUUCUAGAAAGCAGCACGCCAGCACCUUCACGCCGGGAGGGGAUUUCGUCCCGUUCACGCCGCGGCAGCUCCUGCGGCAUCUGAGGCGAGCUGCUUCCUCGCUGGCUUUUCGGGCUCAGCCGUGGGAGGUCGAUCCAUCGGGAG